rnacentral:pre_miRNA from 1 species
UACAUACUCCCUCUGUCCCAAAAUUCUUGUCUUAGAUUUGUCUAGAUAUGAAUGUAUCUAGUCACGUUUUAGUAUUUUGAUACAUUCAUUUUUAGACAAAGUUAAGACAAGAAUUUUGAAAUGGAGGGACUACAUA